GAUGAAGAACGUAGCGAAAUGCGAUAAGUAGUGUGAAUUGCAGAAUUCCGUGAAUCAUCGAGUCUUUGAACGCACAUUGCGCCCCCUGGUAUUCCGGGGGGCAUGCCUGUCCGAGCGUCAUUGCUGCCCUCAAGCACGGCUUGUGUGUUGGGCCCCGUCCUCCGAUCCCGGGGGACGGGCCCGAAAGGCAGCGGCGGCACCGCGUCCGGUCCUCGAGCGUAUGGGGCUUUGUCACCCGCUCUGUAGGCCCGGCCGGCGCUUGCCGAUCAACCCAAAUUUUUUUAUCCAGGUUGACCUCGGAUCAGGUAGGGAUACCCGCUGAACUUAAGCAUAUCAAUAAGCGGAGGA
rnacentral:misc_RNA from 1 species